rnacentral:rRNA from 1 species
AGGUGGUCAGGUAGAGAAUACCAAGGCGCUUGAGAGAACUCGGGUGAAGGAACUAGGCAAAAUGGUGCCGUAACUUCGGGAGAAGGCACGCUGAUAUGUAGGUGAAGCGACUUGCUCGUGGAGCUGAAAUCAGUCGAAGAUACCAGCUGGCUGCAACUGUUUAUUAAAAACACAGCACUGUGCAAACACGAAAGUGGACGUAUACGGUGUGACGCCUGCCCGGUGCCGGAAGGUUAAUUGAUGGGGUUAGCGGUAACGCGAAGCUCUUGAUCGAAGCCCCGGUAAACGGCGGCCGUAACUAUAACGGUCCUAAGGUAGCGAAAUUCCUUGUCGGGUAAGUUCCGACCUGCACGAAUGGCGUAAUGAUGGCCAGGCUGUCUCCACCCGAGACUCAGUGAAAUUGAACUCGCUGUGAAGAUGCAGUGUACCCGCGGCAAGACGGAAAGACCCCGUGAACCUUUACUAUAGCUUGACACUGAACAUUGAGCCUUGAUGUGUAGGAUAGGUGGGAGGCUUUGAAGUGUGGACGCCAGUCUGCAUGGAGCCGACCUUGAAAUACCACCCUUUAAUGUUUGAUGUUCUAACGUAGGCCCCUUAUCGGGGUUGCGGACAGUGUCUGGUGGGUAGUUUGACUGGGGCGGUCUCCUCCUAAAGAGUAACGGAGGAGCACGAAGGUUGGCUAAUCCUGGUCGGACAUCAGGAGGUUAGUGCAAUGGCAUAAGCCAGCUUGACUGCGAGCGUGACGGCGCGAGCAGGUGCGAAAGCAGGUCAUAGUGAUCCGGUGGUUCUGAAUGGAAGGGCCAUCGCUCAACGGAUAAAAGGUACUCCGGGGAUAACAGGCUGAUACCGCCCAAGAGUUCAUAUCGACGGCGGUGUUUGGCACCUCGAUGUCGGCUCAUCACAUCCUGGGGCUGAAGUAGGUCCCAAGGGUAUGGCUGUUCGCCAUUUAAAGUGGUACGCGAGCUGGGUUUAGAACGUCGUGAGACAGUUCGGUCCCUAUCUGCCGUGGGCGCUGGAGAACUGAGGGGGGCUGCUCCUAGUACGAGAGGACCGGAGUGGACGCAUCACUGGUGUUCGGGUUGUCAUGCCAAUGGCACUGCCCGGUAGCUAAAUGCGGAAGAGAUAAGUGCUGAAAGCAUCUAAGCACGAAACUUGCCCCGAGAUGAGUUCUCCCUGACCCUUUAAGGGUCCUGAAGGAACGUUGAAGACGACGACGUUGAUAGGCCGGGUGUGUAAGCGCAGCGAUGCGUUGAGCUAACCGGUACUAAUGAACCGUGAGGCUUAACCUU